AGAGUUUGAUCAUGGCUCAGAUUGAACGCUGGCGGCAGGCCUAACACAUGCAAGUCGAACGGUAACAGGAAGCAGCUUGCUGCUUCGCUGACGAGUGGCGGACGGGUGAGUAAUGUCUGGGAAGCUGCCUGAUGGAGGGGGAUAACUACUGGAAACGGUAGCUAAUACCGCAUAAUGUCGCAAGACCAAAGAGGGGGACCUUCGGGCCUCUUGCCAUCGGAUGUGCCCAGAUGGGAUUAGCUUGUUGGUGGGGUAACGGCUCACCAAGGCGACGAUCCCUAGCUGGUCUGAGAGGAUGACCAGCCACACUGGAACUGAGACACGGUCCAGACUCCUACGGGAGGCAGCAGUGGGGAAUAUUGCACAAUGGGCGCAAGCCUGAUGCAGCCAUGCCGCGUGUAUGAAGAAGGCCUUCGGGUUGUAAAGUACUUUCAGCGGGGAGGAAGGGAGUAAAGUUAAUACCUUUGCUCAUUGACGUUACCCGCAGAAGAAGCACCGGCUAACUCCGUGCCAGCAGCCGCGGUAAUACGGAGGGUGCAAGCGUUAAUCGGAAUUACUGGGCGUAAAGCGCACGCAGGCGGUUUGUUAAGUCAGAUGUGAAAUCCCCGGGCUCAACCUGGGAACUGCAUCUGAUACUGGCAAGCUUGAGUCUCGUAGAGGGGGGUAGAAUUCCAGGUGUAGCGGUGAAAUGCGUAGAGAUCUGGAGGAAUACCGGUGGCGAAGGCGGCCCCCUGGACGAAGACUGACGCUCAGGUGCGAAAGCGUGGGGAGCAAACAGGAUUAGAUACCCUGGUAGUCCACGCCGUAAACGAUGUCGACUUGGAGGUUGUGCCCUUGAGGCGUGGCUUCCGGAGCUAACGCGUUAAGUCGACCGCCUGGGGAGUACGGCCGCAAGGUUAAAACUCAAAUGAAUUGACGGGGGCCCGCACAAGCGGUGGAGCAUGUGGUUUAAUUCGAUGCAACGCGAAGAACCUUACCUGGUCUUGACAUCCACGGAAGUUUUCAGAGAUGAGAAUGUGCCUUCGGGAACCGUGAGACAGGUGCUGCAUGGCUGUCGUCAGCUCGUGUUGUGAAAUGUUGGGUUAAGUCCCGCAACGAGCGCAACCCUUAUCCUUUGUUGCCAGCGGUCCGGCCGGGAACUCAAAGGAGACUGCCAGUGAUAAACUGGAGGAAGGUGGGGAUGACGUCAAGUCAUCAUGGCCCCUUACGACCAGGGCUACACACGUGCUACAAUGGCGCAUACAAAGAGAAGCGACCUCGCGAGAGCAAGCGGACCUCAUAAAGUGCGUCGUAGUCCGGAUUGGAGUCUGCAACUCGACUCCAUGAAGUCGGAAUCGCUAGUAAUCGUGGAUCAGAAUGCCACGGUGAAUACGUUCCCGGGCCUCGUACACACCGCCCGUCACACCAUGGGAGUGGGUUGCAAAAGAAGUAGGUAGCUUAACCUUCGGGAGGGCGCUUACCACUUUGUGAUUCAUGACUGGGGUGAAGUCGUAACAAGGUA
rnacentral:rRNA from 1 species